GUUGUCAUAGUAGCAUUACCAGCCACAGUUGAAAUACAAAUGCAAUGAUAUUGUCGCGUAUGCUUUUUGCGAUAGAGAUUCUAUUUGGUUACAUCUAAAUUACAGAUACCUAUAUACUUUUGAUGUUUUCUGCAACAUUCAUUACCUGUCGUAACAACAAGGAUUUACUCUAAAUCCUACAAUGCCACUUGAUGUGAAAAAUGAAGGAGGAUUAAAGGUACACAACAAAACAAAACUUGAAACUAUUUUGCAUGGAAAUACACAGACACUGUUAACACAGCCUUCAAAAAGUGCAGCGAAAGAAUCCCAAAAUGCAAAACUCAGAGAUACUGAACAAACUGGUUAUGCACCAAAAUUUGCUAAUUCUAAGGUAGAUAAUCAGUAUCUAUCCUCAGAGCUUUCAAAAUCUACAUUUAAUGCAGCUGAUAAUGAGGAUGACGUUUUUGAAAGGAAAGUUCAAACAAUUGAACCUUCUCCAGAGGCUUCUGCUGUUAGCCAAAGCACACAAAGUUCUCAGCUAUUGAUGCAGAGGAUUUCAACUUCAUCAAAUGCAGUUGUUGAGUCUGAAACUAUGGCUCCCUAUACACUCCUUAAAGAGAAUACAGGCUAUACAACUAGAAAAAAGAAGAUUCAUCAGCAGGUUGAACAGUGGUAUUCUAUGUAUAUUUUCUUAAAAUGCACUUCAGUACUGGGGCAUACCAAGAUACCAGAACACCUAGAUCUCUACCAGGAAAUGCUCGACACUAUACAAAUGUUAGUAAAAAAAGGAAAAAAUUUAAAAGUUGAUGGAAAUACAGACAUGAAUGUUUCAGACUUCAGAGAAUUUAAAGAAAAAUAUGAUAAUCUUUUAGAUAAGGAAUAUGAGAUGAAACAGGAAAUACAUUCAAUACUUAAUUUCAAUGAAAUGAAAAAGAAAAAGCACCAUGAAAAUAUUUACAGACAAUGGACAAAAAAAGUAUAUAAUCCUCUGUCUAAAAAAGUACAAGAAAAUGUUCAAAGCUCUCCCUGGUCAUCUACAUGUCGCAAGAAACAUGAGAUGUACAAAAAUUAUUUAAAAUAUGUUAACACUAAGGGCUGUGCUUAUCUUGAUACUGCUGACCCAGAGGAAUAUUCAAUAUAUCCCUACCCUAACAAAGUUCCUGGAAAGGUUAAUGUGACUGAUCCAGAUAAUCCUCUACACUUCACUUCACAGCAAUAUGAUGAAGAAUUGCAAGUGAUUCUGUCUCUCUUAACAGGUAAAAAUUACAGUAGGAAUGAUAUUGAGAAUCUCAAGCUGUUCUCUCGUCCUGAUAGCUCAUCAAGUCGACAGAAGAUGGAUGCUACAAAAUGGUUGCUAAUGCCUGAAAACAACAUUUUAAGUACACCACGGACAGCUAGUAGGAAAGGAGUGAUCAACUAUAAAAACUGAAAGAAAAAUAUUUUAUAAGAAUUUCAAAUCUAAAGCUAAACUGGAAAUAGUCAGCACCACUACUAAAAACAACAGCUUCUCUACAGAUUACCUUAUAACAUGUGUGUUUGAAACAGCAUAAAGCCCUUAUACGACAUGAAAACUUCCUUCCAUAAGACGGAAGAUACAUGCAGGCCGGUACAAUAAGAGCAUGCUGAGUGAGUCCUGUUGACUAAAUACAAAAACAUAGAAAACCAGAGACUUUUUUCUUUACAGAACAAUAGACUGGAAGAGAUCUGAAUUCUAUUUUUAUCUGAAUGAACAGUAUCAUAGGACACAAUCUACUCCAGUCCAAUGCUUGUUAAGCAAAUAUAGAUAUUGAUCAACACUCAUUGACUUGGAUAUUUUCACAAUCUAAAGGAAUUUUCUAGUUCACAUCUUUUAAGAUGAUACUUUUAUGAGUUUUCAGAAUGAUUUCUAACAUAGGUGCAAGACCAUACAUAUUGUCUUUCUUUUUCUUUUUUCUUUCCUCUCUCUCUCUCUCUUUUGCUGUGGGAGAGGAUUUUUUCAACAUCGAUACUUAAUCAGUACUUAAUUUAUCUACUCCAGAAAAGUUAAUGACGAUAGGUUAAGUUGACCUUGGACAGAUUUCAACAAGUUUCUAAGAGAUAUUAGGGUGUUGCCUGAUCACCCUAGUGAUAAUAAUUAUAAGAGUUUCUGAUUUCUGAAAGCCAGAAAUUUUUGAGGGGAACAAGUUAGUAAAUACCAGCAACCUCAGUAUUUGACUGGUACUUUAUUUUAUAGACCCCCUAAAGGUUUAAAAACAAUAUCAACCAUAGCAAGAUUAGAACUCAAGUCAUAAAAAUCCAGAACACUCAAGAUAACGAAUUUUAGUGAGGAAGACAUGGUUGAUUAUAUCAACCCCAAUAGUUGACUAAUACUUAAUUUUAUCAACCUCUACAUGCUGAGUUGAUCUGAAAUUUCACCUCAAAUGGUAACCCUUUUGUUGCCAUAUUUUUGUUGAAAUGCACAAAGUCCAUUUCAAUUAAUUUUGAUAUUAAUACAGAAAUUAGUAAAAAAAAUCUUUGCCAUUAUUAAACUGAUGUUUGAUACAUAAAUUAACAUGAAAUUUUGGUGGAGAGUUUUAAUUUUUGAUACCAACCUGUCUAGACUACUCCUGAGUCUAUGAUCUCUUUUAAAGAGAUCUUAAUUAAAAUCUUCCAUCAAAAUUUGAUGCUAAUUAUGUUCCAAACAUCAGCUGGAUAAUGAUAAAGCUAUUUUACUAAAUUUGUCAUUAGUUUCAAAAUUAAUUAAAACUAAAGUAGUGUAAAUAUAGUAGCAAAAGGAUUAAGAUGGAAAUUUGUAUCAUAAAAACAAGAGUGGUGUCAGGUGGGUUGGUAUCAAAAGAGUUAAUGGAGGUAACUAAAUAUAGCCAGGCAGUUCAUUCACUGCUUUAUAAAUUCUGUUAUCUUUCUACUGCCUGAUGUCCAACAUAGACUCAAAGUCACAAUUUAGGGAUACCAAUGACUAGACUAAUGUUUAUUUAAUUGACCUCUAAAGGAGGAAAAAGCAUAAUUCGCCAUGCUGGGAUUUAAAUGAUUUCUCACAUCAGCGUAACACCACAAAUUUGUUGGUGAGGGGUGCAGUCAAUUUAAUCAUCUCCCAAAGGAUGAAAGACAAUGUUGAUUUUGGCAGGAUUUGAACUCAGAAUAUUAGAAACUAGAACAAAUACCACAAGUAUUUGUUCUGGCUUCUGAUAUUCUGAGAUCAACUUUGCCUUCAUCUUUCUGGAGUUGAUAAAAAAAUAAGGUACCAACCAAAUAAUGGGGUUAAUUUAACUGACUAAAUGACUGACCUUUCUCUCCAAAUUUCAUGCCUUGUGUCUAUGUUAGAAGCAAUUAUUAUGAUUGUGUACAAAUCCCACCAAGAUCAACUUCGCCUUUCAUCCUUUUGGCAUCAGUACAAUAAAGUACCAGUCUAGUACUGGGAUUAAAUCAAUUUAUCCUCUCCCACAAAUUUCUAGCUUUUCUUAGAAAGGAUUAUUAUUAUUGUUUAUGUUGACCAAGUUCAUAUGAUUUUUUUUUACUUUUCACAAGGCCACAAUUUGUAUAAGGGAUCAGAAUAAGUAAUUUGUCAUGUUCAUGUUUUCUUCAAGAAAGAUGAAAAAUACUAGUCAAGUAAAUUUCUAUUAUUAUAAUUAUAUGUUUGGCUUUCGCUUUGUAUUUGCACAAGUUGACGCCAAGUCUCACCCGGAAACCUCAAGAGACAAGUUAGAAGUUCAAUUUGGUGUUAUAACUAGGAUACCUUUUGUUGGAGCUCCUGGAAUCUUGCAUGCAUAGCGGGCUUGCUACCUGCAGCCUACAGUACCAUGCUAUCCAUUCUUUUCAUUAUUAUUAUUAUUAUAAAGGCAGCAAGCUGGCAGAAUCAUUAGCAUGCUGAGCAAAAUGCUUAGCAGUGUUUUGGCCGUCUUUAUGUUCUGAGUUCAAAUUCCACCAAGGAUGAUUUUCGGGGUCAAUAAAUCAAGUACCAGUUGAGUACUGAAGUCAAUGUGAUUGACUGUCCCCCUCUGCACAAAAUCCAGACCUUGUGCCUAUAGUAGAAAGGAUUAUUAUUAUUAUUAUUAAUUCUCUUUAUCACAGGUUUUGUUGGAGCUCCUGGAGUCUUGCAUACAUAGUGGGCUUGCUACCUGCAACCUACGGUACCAUGCUAUCUGUUCUUUUCAUUAUUAUUAUGAAGGUGGUGAGCUGGCAGAACCAUUAGCAUGCUGGGCAAAAUGCUUGGCGGUAUUUUGCCCAUCGCUACAUUCUGAGUUCAAAUUCCACCAAGGUUGACUUUGCCUUCCAUCCUUUUGGGUUCAAUAAAUUAAGUACCAGUUGUGUACUAGGGUUGAUCUAAUUGACUGGGCCCCUCCCACCAAAUUUCAAGCUUUGUGCCUAUAGUAGAAAUUAUUAUUAUUAUUAUUGAGUGAGAGAGCAGUGCAUGCCAUCAAAAUGACACUGGGGUAAAAUAUACAAAGCCCAUUAUACCCAUCAUGACUACCUGUCUGAUAAGGGUACAUCAGGCACAUGCAUCACAACUAUAUGUGUGCGACAUGGUAAUCUCAUAUCAAGAUAAACAGCACAUGACCUCGCAAGUGGAGCCCAGUUAGAAUUUUCUUCAGGUCAAGUAGCCCAUCCCGCUCAAAAGGUCCCUAUUAUUAUUAUUAUUAUUAUUAUUAUUAUUAUUAUUAUUAUUAUUAUUAUCAUUAUUUAAAAAAACUGAGUACACUCAUAUGUUGUCUUUGACAGGAGAGUCCAUCAUCAUUAUCAUUAUCAAGGCUGCAAGCAGGCAAAAUUGUUAGCAUACCAGACAAGAUGCUUAACAGCAUUUCAUCCAUCAUUAUGUCCUAAGUUCAAAUUUCACCCAGCUCGACUUUGCCUUUCACACUUUUGGGAGGUCAAUAAAAUAAGUACUAGUUGAGUACAGGGGCCGAAGUCAUUGACUUCCCCCUCUCCCAAAAUUUAAGGCCUUGUUCCUGUAAUAGAAAGGGUUAUUAUUAUUAUUAUUAUUAUUAUUAGUAGUAGUAGUAGUAGUAGUAGUAGUAGUAGUAGUUGUUGUAGUAGUAGUAGUAUUAGUAGUAGUAGUAGUAGUAGUAGUAGUAGUAGUAGUAUAAGAGUAAUGAAGUAAAAGGAGUGGUAGAACCCCAGUCUGGUAAGUUGUUUUUAAUUUUGAUAUUGAUAUUCUUUUUUCAUCCCUGUGGUAGAUGGAUAUCAAUAGAAUAAGUAAUAGCUAUAUCUCUUCCUUCAAAAUUUGUGGCCUUGUGUUCAGUAUAAAAAUUUAUAAUUGAUAUUAUUAUUAUUAUUAUUAUUAUUAUUUUUAUUAUUAUUAUUAUUAUUAUUAUUAUUAUUAUUAAAUCUGUUAUGUAAUUGUAAUAAUAAAAGAUUUUGUUACUGGUUCUCUGUAAAGCAUUUUGUCUUAUUAAAAAAAAAGAAAACUUAA